UGGGGAAUUUUGCACAAUGGGGGAAACCCUGAUGCAGCGACGCCGCGUGAUUUAGAAGGCCUUCGGGUUGUAAAAAUCUUUUCUAUGGGAAGAAAAUGAUAGUACCAUAGGAAUAAGGACCGGCUAAUUACGUGCCAGCAGCCGCGGUAAUACGUAAGGUCCGAGCGUUGUCCGGAAUCAUUGGGCGUAAAGGGUACGUAGGCGGGUAAGCAAGUUAGAAGUGAAAUCCUAUAGCUCAACUAUAGUAAGCUUUUAAAACUGCUCAUCUUGAGGUAUGGAAGGGAAAGUGGAAUUCCUAGUGUAGCGGUGAAAUGCGCAGAUAUUAGGAGGAAUACCGGUGGCGAAGGCGACUUUCUGGCCAUAACCUGACGCUGAGGUACGAAAGCGUGGGUAGCAAACAGG
rnacentral:rRNA from 1 species